AUGUGUACCUGAAGAAGAAGAAGAAGGAGAAUUAUUAAACGUAGCAUUGUUUGUAUAUUAUUCGCCAGUAAAUAUUUGUUUAUAUUAUAUACUCUUGGGUUUCUUAGCGGUGUAUUUGCUCUAAAAAUGAUUUUUCCGAAGAUAAAUUGGGAUUCUUUUGGGAUCUUAUACACUAAAUUUUUGGUGGUCGUAUGUCCCUUUUUACCAUUACAUCAUUAUUACUUGGAACGGGGUCUUCAUACGCCAUAUCAAAGUACACUUGGACUAGCUUGGAUUUGUCUUUGGACCAUUACAGAAACCAUAUUCAUAUACAUGGGAUAUUUUGGACCAAAACUAACAAGUCGUUUCAUCAAAAUAUUCUACUCCAUUAUGAUGUUCAUACUAUCUGAAUGUUCGAAUUGUCUCUCAUUUAUGUUGUUGCUAAAAAUAAUAUCGAAUGCUAAUUAUCAUUCCGUGUUCAACGGUUUUCUGUUAAUUUCUUGUGGUAUUCUAAACAUGGUGGUUGCCAGUUUGAAUCAUCUGUUGAUAAUUUAUCAUACAUUCCGUCGUGUAAACAGAACAAAUGGCAUGGCCACGGCUAAAGAGACUGAAUGUCAUUGUCAGCCAUACAUGUAUCAUUGUUGGGUGCAUUUCCGCAAUUCCAUCAUUUGGUUCAUACCCUAACAUAUAUUCGAUUUUUUUGAUGAUGAUAGGGAUGCCAAUAAGGGAUAUGUUGGGAUCGGCUGAUACAGAACAUGAUGAAUGCACAAUAAAACGUAAAGGGACUAGUUCUUUUAUGUGCUAUUUCCAAAAGAUAACAUUUGCAGCGUUCUCCGCCUUUUUCAUACUUAAUUCGUGCUCCAUGCUUUUUAUGAACUAUGAAGACAAGCAAAAAACUUGGAUACUUCUUCCAAUAAUGCUUGCAAUUAAUUUUCUCGCGAUCGUUCGCCAAAUAUGUGUGUUACCUGGCAAUGAACCGACGCAGAUAGAGGGAAAGUCAUAGCCAAUACUCACUUUUGGGAAAAUGACGGAAUCUCUGUUAUAAUCACUGUGAAAUAUGCUCAUGACCAUACUCCUUCUCGAUUUAAAGUAACAUAGACAUACUAUUCUUUUACUGUGUGAGAGUUUGUUUGAAGAUUUCAAUGAAUUGUUCGGUAUUAGAGUUUUUAUUUACAAGAAAUUCUUAUUUAAUUUGAAUUAAAAAAGAAACGAUCAGGGAAAAUGUCCCAUCGAAUACAAA